UACAGAGGGUGCAAGCGUUGUUCGGAAUUACUGGGCGUAAAGCGCACGUAGGCGGAUCGUUAAGUCGGGGUGAAAUCCCGAGGCUCAACCUCGGAACUGCCUUCGAUACUGGCGAUCUUGAGUCCGGGAGAGGUGAGUGGAACUCCGAGUGUAGAGGUGAAAUUCGUAGAUAUUCGGAAGAACACCAGUGGCGAAGGCGGCUCACUGGCCCGGUACUGACGCUGAGAUACGAAAGCGUGGGGAGCAAACAGG
rnacentral:rRNA from 1 species